rnacentral:lncRNA from 1 species
CUAUGAGUAUCACGGGUGACCAGGAUUUUGUCUCAGGGUCAGCUAAUAUUGAGCAGAGCCAUGUAGCUAGGAUAUGGAGGCACCACUUCCUGAGACUAUUCAGAGAGAAGCACUGGGAAGAGAGAGUAGACAUGCCCAGAAAAUAUCUGGAUAUGUAGGACUCAGGAAAGUGGUUUGGGCUGGAAAGAGAAAUUUGGGAGACAAAGAUGGUAAAUAACAUCACCCUGAGAAAGCCUCUGGAGGACAUAUUAAAAUAGAUUGCUUCAUCUUCAACAAUCGUCUUGAAGAUAAAUCCUGUUCAAGCAGACCCUGGAUUCAAUUUGGAGGAAUUUUUAAAGCUGGAAGGCAAAGAAGAUAAUGAGAAACCCGACUUUAAAGUUCCAAGUAUG